rnacentral:rRNA from 1 species
GAUGAACGUUGGCGGCGUGCCUAAUACAUGCAAGUCGAGCGAACAGACGAGGAGCUUGCUCCUCUGACGUUAGCGGCGGACGGGUGAGUAACACGUGGAUAACCUACCUAUAAGACUGGGAUAACUUCGGGAAACCGGAGCUAAUACCGGAUAAUAUAUUGAACCGCAUGGUUCAAUAGUGAAAGACGGUUUUGCUGUCACUUAUAGAUGGAUCCGCGCCGCAUUAGCUAGUUGGUAAGGUAACGGCUUACCAAGGCAACGAUGCGUAGCCGACCUGAGAGGGUGAUCGGCCACACUGGAACUGAGACCCGGUCCAGACUCCUACGGGAGGCAGCAGUAGGGAAUCUUCCGCAAUGGGCGAAAGCCUGACGGAGCAACGCCGCGUGCGUGAUGAAGGUCUUCGGAGCGUAAAACUCUGUUAUUAGGGAAGAACAAUUGUGUAAGUAACUAUGCACGUCUUGACGAUACCUAAUCAGAAAGCCACGGCUAACUACGUG